GACAACCUACCCUGUGGAGGGGGAUAACCCCGGAAAACUGGGGAUAAUACCCCAUAGGUUAGGGUGGCUGGAAUGCCCCCUAGCUCAAAGGUCCGCCGCCACAGGAUGGGUCUGCGGCCGAUUAGGUUGUUGUUGGGGUAACGGCCCAACAAGCCUUUGAUCGGUACGGGUUGUGGGAGCAAGAGCCCGGAGAUGGAUUCUGAGACACGAAUCCAGGCCCUACGGGGCGCAGCAGGCGCGAAAACUUUACAAUGCGAGAAAUCGUGAUAAGGGAACCCCGAGUGCCCGUAAAUUCGGGCUGUCCGCCAGUGCAAAAACUGGUGAAGAAAGAGCCGGGCAAGACCGGUGCCAGC
rnacentral:rRNA from 1 species